rnacentral:rRNA from 1 species
AGAACAAGAACGACCCCCGGCAACGGAUAUCUCGGGCAUCGAUGAAGAACGUAGCGAACUGCGAUACUUGGUGUGAAUUGCAGAAUCCCGUGAACCAUCGAGUCUUUGAACGCAAGUUGCGCCCGAAGCCAUCAGGCCGAUGGCACGUCUGCCUGGGCGUCACGCAUCGCG